rnacentral:sRNA from 1 species
UGUUAUUCUUAAGAAGAAUUAUUUUUGUUCGGUUUCAGAUUGAGAAGCGAUUUUGAUUUUCGUCUAAGGUUUUGAGCAAGGAUAGUAAUACAUUGUGUGGAAACACACUAGGAGGCAACAACUAUGGAACAAGGUAAAGUAAAAUGGUUUAACGCAGAAAAAGGCUUUGGAUUUAUCGAACGUGAAGGCGGAGAAGACGUAUUCGUACAUUUCUCAGCAAUCCAAGGCGAAGGUUUCAAAUCUUUAGACGAAGGUCAAAGUGUAACUUUUGACGUAGAACAAGGCCAACGCGGCCCACAAGCUACAAACGUUCAAAAAGCUUAAUAACAGCUAAGAAAAGACCCUGCCGGUGCAGGGUCUUUUUUU